AUUGAACGCUGGCGGCAGGCCUAACACAUGCAAGUCGAACGGUAGCACAGAGAGCUUGCUCUCGGGUGACGAGUGGCGGACGGGUGAGUAACGUCUGGGAAACUGCCCGAUGGAGGGGGAUAACUACUGGAAACGGUAGCUAAUACCGCAUAACGUCGCAAGACCAAAGUGGGGGACCUUCGGGCCUCCCACCAUCGGAUGCGCCCAGAUGGGAUUAGGUAGUAGGUGGGGUAAUGGCUCACCUAGGCGACGAUCCCUAGCUGGUCUGAGAGGAUGACCAGCCACACUGGAACCGAGACACGGUCCAGACUCCUACGGGAGGCAGCAGUGGGGAAUAUUGCACAAUGGGCGCAAGCCUGAUGCAGCCAUGCCGCGUGUAUGAAGAAGGCCUUCGGGUUGUAAAGUACUUUCAGCGGGGAGGAAGGCGGUGAAGUUAAUAGCUUCACCGAUUGACGUUACCCGCAGAAGAAGCACCGGCUAACUCCGUGCCAGCAGCCGCCGUAA
rnacentral:rRNA from 1 species